AAGAUUUUAAGUUAAAAAAACUAACAUCUUUCAAAGCUGUCAAUAAAUUUCUAUUUAAAUCUUA
rnacentral:tRNA from 1 species